GCUACCAUGCAGUCGAGCGGAACGACACUAACGAUCCUUCGGGUGCGUUAAUGGGCGUCGAGCGGCGGACGGGUGAGUAAUGCCUAGGAAAUUGCCUUGAUGUGGGGGAUAACCAUUGGAAACGAUGGCUAAUACCGCAUAAUGCCUACGGGCCAAAGAGGGGGACCUUCGGGCCUCUCGCGUCAAGAUAUGCCUAGGUGGGAUUAGCUAGUUGGUGAGGUAAUGGCUCACCACUGCGACGAUCCCUAGCUGGUCUGAGACGAUGAUCAGCCACACUGGAACUGAGACACGGUCCAGACUCCUACAGGAGGCAGCA
rnacentral:rRNA from 1 species